rnacentral:tRNA from 1 species
GGGCUGGGGCUCAGUGGUAGAUCGCAUGCCUCACAUGUGUGGGCCCCUGGGUUCAAACCUCAGCACCACA